rnacentral:pre_miRNA from 1 species
UGUGCACCAGUGGGGUCCCUCGGCCUGGCCUGCACCCUCUCACAAUCCCGGACCCCUCGGGGGAUGUUGAAGAGCUGGUUUCAUCCCGAUCCUGCAGGCCAGGCUGAGGGACCCCACUGGUGCACG